rnacentral:lncRNA from 10 species
UGUUGCCCAGCCUGGUCUUGAACUUCUGGCCUCAAGCAAUCCUCCCAACUCUGUGUGACUUUGACGACUACAUCACACAAGCGUCAUGGCAGCCCUGUGAAGAGGCUGACUUGGAAAAAAAAAAAAAAAAGAAAUGCUUCUGCCAACGUCCAGCAACAUCUUCCAGCCAUAUGAAUGAGCCACCUUGGAAGUGGAUCCUCCAGCUCCAAACAAGUCUUCAGAUGUGUGUAACCCCAGCCAAUAUCCAACUGAAACCUCAUGAGAGACCCUUGGCCGGAACUACCUAGCCAAGCAACUCCUGAAAUCCUGAUCACAGAAACAGUAAGAGUCUCCACAGAGAAUAGAGCAGGAGUUGAUGAGUCUUGCAAUGAGAGAAUUGAUGAAAUACUUAAGGAAGAACUUCUUAACUGAAGGGCAAUUAAACACAAAUGGCUUUGCAUGGGAGGAUAUGGAAAUCUUGCUCCUUUGUGAUCUUUGAAAAGAGGCAGCAGCUGUUGUGAGCAACUUAAGACUCACAGAGUGCUAUCCUGGAGGAGGAGGAGGAUGAACCACAUCCUGGGAAUAACUCUCUAUACACUUUAACAUAUUUUCCUGGUGGUCCUUAUGCACACUACAGUUUGAGAAUCAUGGUUAUUGAGAAAUAAAAGGCUUUCUUUCUCUGCCUAGGCUUAGGCCUUUAAUGACCUAUUUAGUCUUACAUGUGGUGAUGGAGACCUCUGCCUAAGCUUAUUUUCUACAGGGAUGGUACACAUGCUGA